CAGGAAGAAGCUUGCUUCUUUGCUGACGAGUGGCGGACGGGUGAGUAAUGUCUGGGAAACUGCCUGAUGGAGGGGGAUAACUACUGGAAACGGUAGCUAAUACCGCAUAACGUCGCAAGACCAAAGAGGGGGACCUUCGGGCCUCUUGCCAUCGGAUGUGCCCAGAUGGGAUUAGCUAGUAGGUGGGGUAACGGCUCACCUAGGCGACGAUCCCUAGCUGGUCUGAGAGGAUGACCAGCCACACUGGAACUGAGACACGGUCCAGACUCCUACGGGAGGCAGCAGUGGGGAAUAUUGCACAAUGGGCGCAAGCCUGAUGCAGCCAUGCCGCGUGUAUGAAGAAGGCCUUCGGGUUGUAAAGUACUUUCAGCGGGGAGGAAGGGAGUAAAGUUAAUACCUUUGCUCAUUGACGUUACCCGCAGAAGAAGCACCGGCUAACUCCGUGCCAGCAGCCGCGGUAAUACGGAGGGUGCAAGCGUUAAUCGGAAUUACUGGGCGUAAAGCGCACGCAGGCGGUUUGUUAAGUCAGAUGUGAAAUCCCCGGGCUCAACAUGGGAACUGCAUCUGAUACUGGCAAGCUUGAGUCUCGUAGAGGGGGGUAGAAUUCCAGGUGUAGCGGUGAAAUGCGUAGAGAUCUGGAGGAAUACCGGUGGCG
rnacentral:rRNA from 1 species